GCCUGGCUGGCUCAGUCAGUAGAGCAUGUGAUUCUUGAUCUUGGGGUUGUGAGUUUGUGCCCCUUGCUGGGCA
rnacentral:tRNA from 1 species